GGGCCCGCACAAGCGGUGGAGCAUGUGGUUUAAUUCGAUGAUACGCGAGGAACCUUACCAGGGCUUAAAUGUAAGUUGCAUAGAUCAGAGAUGGUCUUUUCUUCGGACUACUUACAAGGUGCUGCAUGGUUGUCGUCAGCUCGUGCCGUGAGGUGUCAGGUUAAGUCCUAUAACGAGCGCAACCCCUGUCGUUAGUUACCAGCAAGUAAUGUUGGGUACUCUAGCGAGACUGCCGGUGCAAACCGUGAGGAAGGUGGGGAUGACGUCAAAUCAUCACGGCCCUUACGUCCUGGGCUACACACGUGCUACAAUGGCCGGUACAGAGAGCAGCCACUACGCGAGUAGGAGCGAAUCUUCAAAGCCGGUCUCAGUUCGGAUCGCAGUCUGCAACUCGACUCCAUGAAGCUGGAGUUGCUAG
rnacentral:rRNA from 1 species